rnacentral:rRNA from 1 species
AAAAGAGAGUUAAAUAGCACGUGAAAUUGUUGAAAGGGAAGGGCUUAUGACCAGACUUUGGCCUUGCGGAUCAUCCGGUGUUCUCACCGGUGCACUUCGCUUGGUUGAGGCCAGCAUCGAUUUUCUUAGAGGGUUAAAGACAGUAGGAAUGUGACUCCUCCGGGAGUGUUAUAGCCUACUGUGUAAUACCUUUAGGGGGAUCGAGGUUCGCGCUUCGGCAAGGAUGCUGGCAUAAUGGUCAUCAGCCACCCGUCUUGAAACACGGACCAAGGAGUCGAACAUUUAUGCGAGUGUUUGGGUGUUAAACCCUCACGCGUAAUGAAAGUGAACGGAGGUGAGAGCCUUAGGGUGCAUCAUCGACCGAUCCUGAUGUCUUCGGAUGGAUUUGAGUAAGAGCAUUAAUGUUCGGACCCGAAAGAUGGUGAACUAUGCGUGGAUAGGGUGAAGCCAGAGGAAACUCUGGUGGAGGCUCGCAGCGGUUCUGACGUGCAAAUCGAUCGUCAAAUCUGCGCA